rnacentral:lncRNA from 10 species
UUUAAAAAAAAAAAAGUCAGAGAAUUAACACUACCUGAUUUCAACACUUAUUUUAGAAAGCUAUAGUAACCAAGACAGUCUGGUAUUGGCAUAAAGAUAGAUGAGUAAGUCAGGAUAGAAAAGUCCAGAAAGGAUCGUCAUUUCGACAAAUAAUAUGGGAACAACUGGAUACCAUGUUUUAAAAUGAAAAAAACUUUGGCUUUCUAUCCUAGUUUUAACAUAGAUGGUGUAUUCAUCCGCCCACUAUCAUUGGUGCCUAUUGUGUCUCCCCGAGGGACAUGCCCGGAACACUCCCUGGGUUAUCUUGGCGUAGCUGUACAGUUUUACCUUUCGCACUUGAAUCUUCAGUCUGCGUGGAAUUGAUGAUUGUGUGAAGCAGGGAGUCUAAUUUUCCACAUGGAUGUGCAAUUAGUCCAGCACCCAACGUUGAUUGAAAUGACUGUCCUUUUCCAUUGAUCUGCACUGCAGCUUCUGCUGUGGAUGUGUUUCUGGGCUGUGCUCUGUUCUUUUGGUCAUUUACAUAUCGAUGUGCUAAUAACCCACUAAGUCGGUUCUUGUCACUUUAUUUAUAAGCCUUGUUAGCGGACGGAGCAAACCCUCCCACUGUAUCUUUCUCCGGGAUCAUCUAUGGCUAUUCUUGUCCCUUCACACUUCCACAUGUAUCUUAUAUACUUACUUCUUAAACACGUAGAG